GGGGGCGAAACGGCCUCGACGGGGAUAUGUAAGCUCAGACUGCAUACCGAGUUUCUUCACACUCGUUAAAGAAUGAAGGACUAAAUAUAGUUGCUGACGACUAUAAUUACGCUGUAGCGGCUUAAGCCCGCUUCCGUUCCUCCCUUCCUUUGUCCAUGGGGUUGGGAAUGAACGUCGACUACAUGGAAUAGCCUCUCGGUGGGCCUGUAACCGAAUGGCGAAACUAAAGCAGGAUAGUGCCAAAGACCUCUCGUCCUGAAGAGACGGCGGCACGAUAAGCAACUAAGCGGGACUAAGUAUGUAGAUGUCUGCAGGGGAGUAUUUUCGGACCCGGGUUCAACUCCCGGCGCCUCCACCA
rnacentral:tmRNA from 1 species